UACGGAGGGGGCUAGCGUUGUUCGGAAUUACUGGGCGUAAAGCGCGCGUAGGCGGACCUGCAAGUCGGGGGUGAAAGCCCGAGGCUCAACCUCGGAACUGCCUUCGAUACUGCGGGUCUCGAGUCCGGGAGAGGUGAGUGGAAUUCCUAGUGUAGAGGUGAAAUUCGUAGAUAUUCGCAAGAACACCAGUGGCGAAGGCGGCUCACUGGCCCGGUACUGACACUGAGGUGCGAAAGCGUGGGGAGCAAACAGG
rnacentral:rRNA from 1 species